UGUGAUAGUUAGGACCAUGCCAUAUCCCAGUAAUUUGUGGUCAAUGAAAUAUGUCUGUCUGUCUGUCUAUCUAUCUAUCUAUCUAUCUAUCUAUCUAUCUGUGUGUGUGGUAAAAUCUCCAUGCAAAACAUAAUGCGUGUUUUUAUAGUGUCGCGUAAUUAACUAAGAAAAAAAAAGUAUUAGGUUAAAUGAAAUUCUUCUUACUAAUGUACGAUAGUGUGCAUUUGUGUACGAAAGUGAUUACCUUCCAUCUACAGACCGAGAAGAUUUUGUCUUAUCCUACACCUGUAUCUCUCCCGUACCUCACCACUUACCCACCCACUCACUCUCUCACCCUCCCCCUCUUAUCCUUCCCCCGCCACACAAUCCCCUGCCAUUCCUCUGACCACACCUGAUCCUCUGAAAAUUACCCUUUCCCUCCUCCUUCCCUCUCCACUCUCCCUCCAUUCCUUCCCUUCCCUCUCUCUCCCAAGCGCUCACCUUUCACUCUCCCUCCUUCAACCUCUCUUUUUAAAUACCACUUUCACGUCCCUCAACAGACAACGGGGCGGGAGUGAGAUGGAAAAUAGAGAGAGGAAAAAAGAGAGAGGAAAAUAGAGAGAGGAGAGAGAGUAGGAGUGACACAAGGUUUCCCAACAAGUAGGCAUCCUUGGCACCCCUUACCUGCCCCAACCCCCAACUCCCACCGACACUAACCCGUUAUCCGAACCCCACUACCUCCGCCCACACACUGCCCGGUCCCCCCCUCCCCAUCCACCCUAUUUUCAUGGUAAUAUUGAGGGGAGGGGACGGGUCGACUUUCUAAUGGCGGAAAGCUGAGUUUAAACACCCAGCCUCCAGUCUUUCUCCCCCCCCUCAUACCCCCAGGCAGCCAAAUGGAGGAGGGCAUGGGAGGGGCGUGAGUGUCAAGCAGGAAAUACGGCACCACUCGUCACACUCCUCUCAGUUGCAUGGUAAUUCCUCUCGUUUAUUGGCGGUCUGUAGACGAGUAAUCCACCACCUAACCUGCCUAUUGCCUCUCACCACACUCUUCUCCUCUCCCUCCGUCGCCAUCUCUCUCCUCACCCACCCACUUCACCAUUCGCGCGCUUUCAUUACAUACACAUCCUCCUCCUCGUCCUUCUUCUCCUCGUCUUGUCCGUAUCUGUUACCACCACCCACGCCUUGCUGACUCGACUUUAUCACCUCACAUUGGCCAGGCGCUGAUAUGUGUAUAUGUGUGUGUGUGUGUGUGUGUGUGUGUGUGUGUGUUGUGUGUGUGAGUGUGUGUGUGUGUGUGUGUGUGUGUGUGUGUGUGUGUGUGUAAUAGAGAGCUCCACCAGGGUUUCUCCAGCGUGGUCAUGCAAGCCGUCCAUCAGCAUCCCACCGCUGGCACGUCCCUCCCGCACCGCCACACAGGCGUGGCGUCACCCGCCAUCGCCAUGCAGCGGAAGGCCCGGCGCCUGCCUCAGCACACUGACGUCUGUUACUGUCCCACCAAGGCCCUGUCAUAGUUGUGGUUGUGCUGUGUCAGGCACGUUACGGAUUCAGCGAUUAAGGAAGCGAGUCUCACGAGAAGCCUUAUCAUGGGUCCCGCGGUGGCCGGCGCUGACGCAUGUGUGGGCAAGGCUGCGCAAAGACAACACGAGGUCCUUGGGGCGGCUGGGGACGGCGCCUUCCUUGUUUAGUGGGAAAAAACACGAGGCGCAGUUUCCGAGUGGGCGCCCGACCAGUUGCCCAGUGUCCACACACCGCGCCGCUCCGCUCUGCGCCGCGAGGGUGUGCGGCGGGGCACACAUAGGUCGCCGCCAGCAGGUGUGGGGACCAGGCAGGAUCACCCAACCCGUUUGGUUUCCUUCCCACCCACACCCCGGGAAGGAACAAGGCAUGGUCAAGCAGCCCUUCCAGGGUGCGGAGCGCCACUGCCCGACCUGCAGUGUACCGCCGCCACAGCCGCGCCGUCCCGGCUUUUAACUCAUUGUCGGAAAUGGGCUUCCAUAAGAGCAGAUUGCAGCUUUCUUUAGUCU